GACGAACGCUGGCGGCGUGCUUAACACAUGCAAGUCGAACGGAAAGGCCCUGCUUUUGUGGGGUGCUCGAGUGGCGAACGGGUGAGUAACACGUGAGUAACCUGCCCUUGACUUUGGGAUAACUUCAGGAAACUGGGGCUAAUACCGGAUAGGAGCUCCUGCUGCAUGGUGGGGGUUGGAAAGUUUCGGCGGUUGGGGAUGGACUCGCGGCUUAUCAGCUUGUUGGUGGGGUAGUGGCUUACCAAGGCUUCGACGGGUAGCCGGCCUGAGAGGGUGACCGGCCACAAUGGGACUGAGAGACGGCCCAGACUCCUACGGGAGGCAGCAGUGGGGAAUAUUGCACAAUGGGCGGAAGCCUGAUGCAGCAACGCCGCGUGCGGGAUGACGGCCUUCGGGUUGUAAACCGCUUUCGCCUGUGACGAAGCGUGAGUGACGGUAAUGGGUAAAGAAGCACCGGCUAACUACGUG
rnacentral:rRNA from 1 species